AUUGAAUGCUUAAAGAAUUGCUCUAGUGUGGGCUAAUGGUGGGAAGGGGCUUCACCUGUAGUGUGUUGAAGUCUCAUUUACUAUGCCAAUAACAGCACAUUCCUCACCCUGGAACCUGAGUAAUCUCUAUACAUCCUCAGACCUAAAGAGACAAAAAAGCUCAAAUCUUAGGUCUCUCAUGGCUGGAAAGGGGACAAACUGGUCAAAAGUAUGGCUUCAUCUUAUGUUAUGGUGGGAAAUAAUAGAAUAUUGGCUGCUAUGAGGGAUAGGCUGGGAGUCAGGUGGGAGGUGAACAUUAAGAAGGAGAGGGACUGACCUGAAGCCUACGGAGUGUCGCUAUCACUCAUCACAGGGUUAAUUUUGAGAGGCAUCUAUGUUUGUGCAGUUGCAUUUUCUGUAAACAUUAUUGUUUUGCUCCACUAUGGUAUUUCUUAAAGUGUUUUGGAAAAGUAAGGAAAGA
rnacentral:lncRNA from 1 species